GAUCACUGUAAUAUAUAUUUUAAAAUCUGUUUAGGACAAAAAGUUUACGUGUGAUCAAUGUGGAAAACAUUUUCUUCGAAACAGAAACCUGACAGUGCACACAAAAAGCGUGCACAGUUUGAAGAAAUUAGUCUGUACCCUGUGUUCCAAAAUAUUCUCUAAUGAACGAAAUCUUAAUCUUCAUGUCAGGACUACGCACGAAACUGAGAAACUUUCGUUUGAAUGUGAUUUGUGCGGAAAACGUUUUGUAGACCGCGGUAAACUGACUGUACACAGGAAAAC